rnacentral:rRNA from 1 species
UACGUAGGUGGCGAGCGUUGUCCGGAUUUACUGGGCGUAAAGGGCGCGUAGGCGGCCACUCAAGUCAGCUGUGGAAUCUCCGAGCUUAACUCGGAACGGUCAGCUGAUACUGUUUUGCUAGAGUGCAGAAGGGGCAAUCGGAAUUCUUGGCGUAGCGGUGAAAUGCGUAGAUAUCAAGAGGAACACCUGAGGUGAAGACGGGUUGCUAGGCUGACACUGACGCUGAGGCGCGAAAGCCAGGGGAGCAAACGGG